rnacentral:tRNA from 1 species
UCCCUCAUGGUCCAGUGGUUAAAACUCUGUGCUUCCAAUGCAUGGGGCAAGGGUUCAAUCCUUGGUGAGGGAA